GAUGAACGCUAGCGGCAGGCCUAACACAUGCAAGUCGAGGGGUAGAAGGAGCUUGCUCCUUUGAGACCGGCGCACGGGUGCGUAACGCGUAUGCAAUCUACCUUUUACAGAGGGAUAGCCCAGAGAAAUUUGGAUUAAUACCUCAUAGUAUAUAUCAUUCGCAUGUUUGGUAUAUUAAAGUUCCAACGGUAAAAGAUGAGCAUGCGUCCCAUUAGUUAGUUGGUAAGGUAACGGCUUACCAAGACGAUGAUGGGUAGGGGUCCUGAGAGGGAGAUCCCCCACCCUGGUACUGAGACACGGACCAGACUCCUACGGGAGGCAGCAGUGAGGAAUAUUGGUCAAUGGACGCAAGUCUGAACCAGCCAUGCCGCGUGCAGGAAGACGGUCCUAUGGAUUGUAAACUGCUUUUGUACGGGAAGAAACACUCCUACGUGUAGGAGCCUGACGGUACCGUAAGAAUAAGGAUCGGCUAACUCCGUGCCAGCCGCCGCGGUAACAC
rnacentral:rRNA from 1 species